UUGUUAUGCACUAUUCAUGUUUUUUUGGAAAACAGAAUAAUAUUAUGAGUAUCCAAAAGUCCCUUUGGAGUUUCAUGAUCAAAUGAACUUAAAACUUCUUUCAUUAUGCACACUCAAGUUUCUUUGGUCAGUACAUAUAAGAUCUUGCCGAAUAAUUUUCCAAAAUUUUCACCAAGCAACUGUUUUUUUUCAGGAUUGUGGAAAUAGGAGCUCAGCUGCUAGGCCAUUCUAUUGGUGUACCAAUUCUGGAUUAUUCAUUAUGUUCUCUUUAUUGCUAAUGACAAACAUCCUUCCAGUAUGACAACCUUAAAUUUCGUCAAUGUUUGGUGAUUUUUUGGUAUUUCGUUGUAGGAGACACCAAAUGCAGAGUCGUCAUAUCUAACUUUUACUUUGACAUGGCUGGGUGUUCGUCUUCUACAUAUCUGGUUUAUGCUCUAUUGUCUACUUACCAACAAGAAGAUAAGUUGAAUGCUUCACCUUGGCAAAGUCGUGCAGCUGUCAACGUUUUGGUUCUUCUGGAUCUUAAAUUGU
rnacentral:lncRNA from 1 species